UACGAAGGGGGCUAGCGUUGUUCGGAUUUACUGGGCGUAAAGCGCACGUAGGCGGAUUGUUAAGUUGGGGGUGAAAUCCCAGGGCUCAACCCUGGAACUGCCUUCAAUACUGGCAAUCUAGAGUCCGGAAGAGGUGAGUGGAACUCCUAGUGUAGAGGUGGAAUUCGUAGAUAUUCGGAAGAACACCAGUGGCGAAGGCGGCUCACUGGCCCGGUACUGACGCUGAGGUGCGGAAAGCGUGGGGAGCAAACAGGG
rnacentral:rRNA from 1 species